AAUAACAAUACAGGGCAAUUGUCUUGUAAUUGGAAUGAUGGUGACCUAAACCCUCACCAGAGUAACAAUUGGAGGGCAAGUCUGGUGCCAGCAGCCGCGGUAAUUCCAGCUCCAAUAGCGUAUAUUAAACUUGUUGCAGUUAAAAAGCUCGUAGUUGAAUUUUUGCGUCACCGUGUAUCGACAUUGGUCGUUUAUCGGUUUCGCUUUUGGGAUUUAUCCCUUUUUACUUUGAGAAAAUUAGAGUGUUUCAAGCAGACUUUUGUCUUGAAUACUUCAGCAUGGAAUAAUAGAGUAGGACUUUGGUUCUAUUUUGUUGG
rnacentral:rRNA from 1 species